rnacentral:rRNA from 1 species
AUUGAACGCUGGCGGCAUGCCUUACACAUGCAAGUCGAACGGUAACGGGCCUUCGGGUGCCGACGAGUGGCGAACGGGUGAGUAAUACAUCGGAACGUGCCCGAUCGUGGGGGAUAACGAGGCGAAAGCUUUGCUAAUACCGCAUACGAUCUACGGAUGAAAGCAGGGGACCGCAAGGCCUUGCGCGGACGGAGCGGCCGAUGGCAGAUUAGGUAGUUGGUGGGAUAAAAGCUUACCAAGCCGACGAUCUGCAGCUGGUCUGAGAGGAUGAUCAGCCACACUGGGACUGAGACACGGCCCAGACUCCUACGGGAGGCAGCAGUGGGGAAUUUUGGACAAUGGGCGCAAGCCUGAUUCAGCCAUGCCGCGUGCAGGAUGAAGGCCUUCGGGUUGUAAACUGCUUUUGUACGGAACGAAAAGCCUUCUUUUAAUACAGGAGGGUCAUGACGGUACCGUAAGAAUAAGCACCGGCUAACUACGUG